UACGAAGGGAGCUAGCGUUGUUCGGAAUUACUGGGCGUAAAGGGCUCGUAGGCGGCCAACUAAGUCGGACGUGAAAUCCCUCAGCUUAACUGGGGAACUGCGUCCGAUACUGGAUGGCUUGGAUUUGGGAGAGGGAUGCGGAAUUCCAGGUGUAGCGGUGAAAUGCGUAGAUAUCUGGAGGAACACCGGUGGCGAAGGCGGCAUCCUGGACCAAUAUUGACGCUGAGGAGCGAAAGCCAGGGGAGCAAACGGG
rnacentral:rRNA from 1 species